CGGUAAUUCCAGCUCCAAUAGCGUAUACUAAAGUUGUUGCAGUUAAAAAGCUCGUAGUUGGAUUUCUGCGGGGACGGAGCGGCCGGUCGCAACUUGCGACUCGAGCUAGCGCUUUCCCCGCAUCCUGCCGCGAACCGUGCUACCAUUAGUUUGGUGGCGCUGGGGGUCGGCUCGAUUACUUUGAGAAAAAUAGAGUGUCCAAAGCAGGCCACACGCCUUGAAUAAGUUAGCAUGGAAUAAUGACUAAGGACUUUGGUUCUUUUCGUUGGUGUUCGGGACUGAAGUAAUGAUUGAUAGGGACAGUUGGGGCGGUCCGUAUUCCAAAGCGAGAGGUGAAAUUCUUAGACCUUCGGAAGACGAACAGCUGCGAAAGCGUUCCGCAAGGAUGUUCCCUUUGAUCAAGAACGAAAGUUGGGGGAUCGAAGACGAUCAGAUACCGUCGUAGUCUCAACUAUAAACUAUACCAGCUAGGGAUCGGCCAACGUUUAAUUAUUCGACUUGGUCGGCACCUUAUGAGAAAUCAAAGCAUCUGGGUUCCGGGGGGAGUAUGGUCGCAAAGCUGAAACUUAAAGGAAUUGACGGAAGGGCACCACCAGCCGUGGAGCCUGUGGCUUAAUUUGACUCAACACGGGAAAACUUACCAGGUCCGGACAUAGUAAGGAUUGACAGAUUGAUAGCUCUUUCUUGAUUCUGUGGGUGGUGGUGCAUGGCCGUUUUUAGUCGGUGGAUGUGAUCUGUCUGCUUAAUUGCGUUAACGGACGAGACCCCAGCCUGCUAAAUAGCGCGGCCGAGCCUUGCUCGGUGCGAGCUUCUUAGAGGGACCAUGAUGCGCGAUAGCACAAGGAAGUUUGGGGCAACAACAGGUCUGUGAUGCCCUUAGAUGUUCUGGGCCGCACACGGGCUACACUGGCGCCUGCAACGAGCAUAUCAGCUGGCCCGAGAGGGUCUUGGCUAAUCUUUGGAACCGGCGCCGUGCUUGGGAUUGACCAUUGCAAUUGUUGGUCAUGCAACGAGGAAUGCCUUGUAAACGCGAGUCAUCAGCUCGCAUUGAAUACGUCCCUGCCCUUUGUACACACCGCCCGUCGCUCCUACCGAUGAAUGUUCCGAUGAAAUUUUCGGAGAGCACCAGAGAACGGGGCUCUGCCUUGCAGAUCUGGAGGCUCAAAGUCACUUAAAUCUGAACAUUUCGAGGAAGGAGAAGACGUAACAAGGUAGCCG
rnacentral:rRNA from 1 species